CCUACGGGAGGCAGCAGUGGGGAAUAUUGGGCAAUGGGCGCAAGCCUGACCCAGCAACGCCGCGUGAAGGAAGAAGGCUUUCGGGUUGUAAACCUCUUUUAAGAGGGAAGAGCAGAAGACGGUACCUCUUGAAUAAGCCACGGCUAACUACGUGCCAGCAGCCGCGGUAAUACGUAGGUGGCAAGCGUUGUCCGGAUUUACUGGGUGGAAAGGGCGUGCAGGCGGGAAGACAAGUCAGAUGUGAAAUCCCGCGGCUCAACCGCGGAACUGCGUUUGAAACUGUUUUUCUUGAGUACCGGAGAGGUCAUCGGAAUGCCUGGUGUAGCGGUGAAAUGCGUAGAUAUCAGGAAGAACACCAGUGGCGAAGGCGGAUGACUGGACGGCAACUGACGGUGAGGCGCGAAAGCGUGGGGAGCAAACAGGAUUAGAUACCCUUGUAGUC
rnacentral:rRNA from 1 species